UACGAACUGUGCGAACGUUAUUCGGAAUCACUGGGCUUACAGGGUGCGUAGGCGGCUUGUCAAGUAGGGUGUGAAAGCCCCCGGCUCAACCGGGGAAUUGCGCCCUAAACUGGCGAGCUGGAGUGAGAUAGGGGUGUGUGGAACUUCCGGUGGAGCGGUGAAAUGUGUUGAUAUCGGAAGGAACGCCGGUGGCGAAAGCGACACACUGGAUCUAGUCUGACGCUGAGGCACGAAAGCCAGGGGAGCGAACGGG
rnacentral:rRNA from 1 species